CAUCCCAGCUCCAACUUCUCUGACUUCGAUGAGAUUUUGUACCAACAGAAUUGGUGCUAGAGGAAGGGCGGCGCGUGUCUUCGCAGUCCCCUUGUUCUUAAAGGAGUGCUCAACGGGACUGAUCUCGAUCAUCUUCUCUGACAUCCUCUUCUUCCUCCUCUACUAGAUCUUCACCUGAUGCCUCCCCACAAAGCAUCCACCAGG
rnacentral:lncRNA from 1 species